rnacentral:rRNA from 1 species
AACGAACGCUGGCGGCAGGCCUAACACAUGCAAGUCGAACGCUCCGCAAGGAGAGUGGCAGACGGGUGAGUAACACGUGGGAAUCUUCCUAUCGGUGGGGAAUAGCUCAGGGAAACUUGGGGUAAUACCGCAUACGCCCGUAAGGGGAAAGAUUUAUCGCCGAUAGAUGAGCCCGCGUCUGAUUAGCUAGUUGGUGGGGUAAUGGCCCACCAAGGCGACGAUCAGUAGCUGGUUUGAGAGAAUGACCAGCCACACUGGGACUGAGACACGGCCCAGACUCCUACGGGAGGCAGCAGUGGGGAAUCUUGGACAAUGGGCGCAAGCCUGAUCCAGCCAUGCCGCGUGAGUGACGAAGGUCUUCGGAUUGUAAAGCUCUUUUAGCAGGGACGAUAAUGACGGUACCUGCAGAAUAAGCCCCGGCUAACUUCGUGCCAGCAGCCGCCGCCG